GGGUAUGUGUAUAUCCACCACGGGAUGUUGAAGCCAAGUGGUUAUCGAACCUACUACUUCCGUUAUGCACACACGGAAGCGGUGACAAUUGCUGGGAGGGAUAUAUGAAAGAUUUUGGAAAAGUGGUACAAGGCCUCGGCCUUUUUACGUUGGUUGUACUGGCCAAUAUGUUUCUGACAGGCUUUAUUGUCUGGCAACUGUGGACGUACCUCUUUCCUGCAGCUGAUCAGCCGGGGUAUCUGUCGUUUGUGGUUGGUGUGUUUAUUGCAAGACUGCUGACUGGUGGGGCACUCCUCCCACGUUGGAUGGACAAGGGGAUUGAGAAGUGAAUGAAAAGCUCCCUGAGAUGGUGGUAUCAACUAUUGAAGAGGCACCAAGCAACUACUACAUCCGGACUGCAACAGAUGAGUAUCUUUUUAUUAAGACGAAAUCUAGGGAAAAGAACCCCUGUGAGGGGAGUGAAAUAGAACCUGAAACCGGAUGCGUACAAGCAGUCAGAGCCCGCAAGGGUGAUGGCGUACCUUUUGUAUAAUGGGUCAGCGACUUACUAGUCUGUAGCGAGCCUAACCGUAUAGGGAAGGCGUAGGGAAACCGAGUCUUAAUAGGGCGCUUAGUUGCAGGCUGUAGACCCGAAACCCGUCGAUCUAUCCAUGUCCAGGGUGAAGUUGUGGUAACACACAAUGGAGGCCCGAACUCACGCCUGUUGAAAAAGUCGGAGAUGAGGUGUGGAUAGGAGUGAAAGGCUAAUCAAGGCGGGUGAUAGCUGGUUCUCCUCGAAAGCUAUUGAGGUAGCGCCUCGCGUCUAACUCAGGGGGGUAGAGCACUGUUACGGCUAGGGGGGACAUAAGUCCUUACCAAACCGUUGCAAACUCCGAAUACCCUGAAGUUCAAUCGCGGGAGACACACGGUGGGAGCUAAAUUUCAUCGUGAAGAGGGAAACAACCCAGACCGCCAGCUAAGGUCCCUAAAUUAUCGCUAAGUGGUAAACGAUGUGGGAAGGCAUAGACAGCCAGGAUGUUGGCUUAGAAGCAGCCAUCAUUUAAAGAAAGCGUAAUAGCUCACUGGUCGAGUCGGCCCGCGCGGAAGAUGUAACGGGGCUAAGCGAUAUACCGAAGCUGCGGGUGCAUAGCAAUAUGCGCGGUAGAGGAGCGUUCCGUAAGCCUGUGAAGGUGACUCGUAAGGGUUGCUGGAGGUAUCGGAAGUGCGAAUGCUGACAUGAGUAACGAUAAUGCAGGUGAAAAACCUGCACGCCGUAAGCCCAAGGUUUCCUGCGCAACGAUUUUCGGCGCAGGGUAAGUCGGAUCCUAAGGCGAGGCCGAAAGGCGUAGUCGAUGGCAAACAGGUUAAUAUUCCUGUACUUCCUUAGCUGCGAUGGGAGGACGGAGAAGGUUAGACCAGCCACCUGUUGGAUGGUGGUUUAAGCGUGUAGGAGUGCACUCUAGGCAAAUCCGGAGUGAUGAUCUGAAGCGUGAUGACGAGUCUCUUCUGAGACGAAGUGGUUGAUACCAUGCUUCCAAGAAAAGUCCCUAAGCUUCAGGCAAAAGGAAUCCGUACCCCAAACCGACACAGGUGGGCGAGGAGAGUAUCCUAAGGCGUUUGAGAGAACUCGGGAGAAGGAACUCGGCAAAUUUGAACCGUAACUUCGGGAUAAGGUUCGCCUACGCAAGUAGGCCGCAGUGAAGAGGGGGUUGCGACUGUUUAUCAAAAACACAGCACUCUGCAAACACGAAAGUGGACGUAUAGGGUGUGACUCCUGCCCGGUGCUGGAAGGUUAAUUGAUGGGGUCAGCCGCAAGGCGAAGCUCUUGAUCGAAGCCCCAGUAAACGGCGGCCGUAACUAUAACGGUCCUAAGGUAGCGAAAUUCCUUGUCGGGUAAGUUCCGACCUGCACGAAUGGUGUAACGAUGGCCACACUGUCUCCUCCCGAGACUCAGCGAAGGUGAAAUGUAUCGUGACUGGGAAAC
rnacentral:rRNA from 1 species